AACUAAAGUGCUGAGUCUAGUUCAGGGCUUCUUCUCUUUCUGGUAAUUAAGUUUGGGGACAUUAAGACAUGAGCUGGGGGAUAUGAUUGGGUAGAUGGUAUUUCCCUAUUCAUUUCCCUUCCAUCUUACAAAA